rnacentral:lncRNA from 1 species
CCUUAACAUAUCGUUUGAUUGCUACAAUGACUUAUAGAAUUACUUGCAUUUUUCAAACUGUUUAUAGUGAACAAUCAAUUAAUCAAUAUACAUAAUUCUUCCAUCUGUAUAAAAAUAAAUAAAUAUAUGGAUACAUUAGAAUAUGCAUAUCAAUCAAUUGAUGGGUCUAUCGCUUCAUAUAACAUAAAUUUUAUUAAAAUUAAUAUAUAAUUAAUACUGCUCGGCACCUUCCAUC